AUGACAGGACAGAUUGAGUCCUUUGGUCCAGCUCGCCAUAUUCCAAGUGCCCAGUAGCCAAAGGGACACUGCAGGGGACAGCGUGGAAGAACGUUUCCAAGGCUGGAGAGAGUUGUGUCACACAGCAGGGCUGGGGGCUCAAGGACCCAGCCUGGAAGACCCCCUUCCUCGGAGCACUGGCUAACUCGAGUGACUAGUUUCACGAGACUGUACUGGGCGUUUCUUCCACCUCCCUCCCACGAAGAGAAAAACAAGCCAGAGCUGGAAGCACAGUUGUUGACAGCUGUGU
rnacentral:lncRNA from 1 species